GCCCAGAUCCCUUCUCCAAGCUAGGCGAGUAUGCAGGGUGGAGUUGUUGUACCUCUCUGCGAUGGCUCCUGGCUGCUGUGUCGCUCGAGGCGCUGUUUGAGGCAGAUCAGAUCGUAGUUCGUCUGAUCUGAAUCUCCGGCAGCGGUCGGUUGGUCGCCUCCUCUCUGUUUCUUCUCUCAAGCUCCAGGAUCAGCUCGUGUACUCCUCCCCCUCAUCGGCGGCAAGCCGGUCGCCAGCUCCUUGGCUCCUUCCCGACCGGUAAUGCGACGUCGUGCAAACCUACAAAUCUUCAACAUGGUGAUUCAUUUUCCUGCAGUGGAAUCGGUCAAUAGUUUGCAGAGAUUAAUUCUCCAAUGUUUCUCAUUGAUGAUUCCAGUACACCUAAAAAGAAACAACCGUUCUCUCAAGAGGUACACACACUUUCGGAUAUUAUGCAAUAUAAUUUCUUACAAUUUCCAUGUUAAAGUCCAUGAUUCAGUCAUGUUUGAUAGGAAGUAUACACCCUUAUCAUGUGUCAUGUACUAUUGCAAGCCAUAGGUGCCGAACAAGUAGGAGAUAAAGUAAACAACCGAGAGAUUUCCAUGUCCAUGAUUAAAACUAUAAGGUCCCUAUUGUGUUCUAUCGAUGGUCACAACCUGUAAUACUCGCUAGAUAGGCAUUACAUUUCGUGAAUACCAAAUAGUAAUUGUAUUUAGGUUGGUUGAAAAUAUAUGUUUUUGGUUGUGAUAGAAAAUGAGAUCUCAUAAGUGCAUAGCAUGUAUUUUUACUAAAUAAGUUUUACUGCUAACCAUUCUGGCCCAGCAAAGAGAAAAGAUUGGUUAUGGGGAGAGAGUUGCAGUGGCCGUGGCUGCAGGGUCGGGUGGUGCUGUGAUGUGCGCCUCCUCUAGCACCUUCAAGUUCUGCCUCGAGCCCUCGACCUUGUACGCAUGGACUGGAGGGUGGUUGCGACCGCGCGCCAAACUGAUUGUCUCCGCUCCUUCUGUGACGAGAUGCCCCUCAGGCCGCCAGGAGGUGGCCGUCGAGCUUGACGUGGCUGCCAGCUGGUCGGCCGGGUCGAUUCCUUGAUCAGCUAUGCACAGCAGCCGCGGGUCGGCUAUGUCAAUGCCUUGAUCAACAAUGCAUGACUUCGAAGUACUCAUUUUGCAUGCUCUCGUUCUAUACUCAUUUACAGUCUUGGGUUUCUUGAAUUAACUUGAUCGUCGUUCUUGCAUGCAUCAGCUAGCAGCUAUGCUUCUGGUUAAAAAACACCCUGUAUACUCCUCUACUUCGGUUUGUGAGCAUUUAUACUUCGUACAAAGUGUCGAAUCUAUGACACUUACAUGGACCUGCGCUAACUGAAUCAUAUUUGUUAUGUUCGAUCUCCCAGAACAAGAAGCUUGAUGAGCAAAAAGCACUAGAACUGGAGCCUGGAGGCAAGCUAGCAAAGUUGGUGCAGUUUUGAAAUGGCAAUGCUUCUUGAGCAGUGAUUAGUUUAGUCAUUCAUACGUAGUCUUACCCAUGAUGUACCUAAAAUUAUCCUCUCAAGCAAUGUAAUAUGUAUGUGUGUCUCAUUUGUUGUGUCUUGUCUGGCGUCGUGCAGUUCGAAAUGUAUGUUUGCUUGAAGUGGAUGUAUUAAUUCCCAUAUACUCAAAUAUUUGUGGUGAGGUUCACAUACUCCUUA